CGUGAUAAAGCUCCUGCUCAGCUACGUCCUCACUGAACAUGCUGUAGAGCGUCUUACAAAGCUCAAUGAACUGACUCUGAAAGACAGAAACAAGACGUCACAAUUCUUAUCAUCAUCAGAAAUUAUCACCAUAAAUGAUAAACAUUAUGAUGAAUGCCAACAGCAUUUAUCAUAAUGCUCUGUUCUCUACUCUCUGACUUUCUCUGUUGCUUUUUGAAUCAUAGCUUCUGUGACAACAAGGGUUGCUGGUGCCGAUGGAGAUUUACUCUACAUGGAUCCACUUUUUCACUUCCGAUAUACAUAAAUGUUCUGAAUUAUGAUCUCGAAGCACAAAUCCUACCUGGUUCAGCUUUGGAAGGUCCUUUGUGUUUUCUCGUCUGGGCUUCGUCUCUUCGUUCCACAGUUUCAGGCCGUUGAUGAAGUCUCGGAAGUUGAGGAGGGCGUCUCCGUUUUCAUCCAGCAGACGGAAGAAACGCACCGCCAGCGGAUCAGAG